UACGAGGGGGGCGAGCGUUGUUCGGAAUUAUUGGGCGUAAAGGGUGCGUAGGCGGUUUGGUAAGUCUUGUGUGAAAUCUUCGGGCUUAACUCGAAGUCUGCACUGGAAACUGCCGGGCUUGAGUGUGGGAGAGGUGAGUGGAAUUCCCGGUGUAGCGGUGAAAUGCGUAGAUAUCUGGAAGAACACCAAUGGCGAAGGCAAUGUUCUGGCUCGUUUCUGACGCUCAGGUGCGAAAGCCAGGGGAGCGAACGGG
rnacentral:rRNA from 1 species